AAAUUGACUAUGAUGAAAAGAGUAAGUAAAAAGUAGUUUUUACAGAGAGCUUCAAUCGGUGAAAAGAAGCAAAAUGAGAUUUACUGAAGAUGGUUUCUGAGUCGGACAGGCCGAAUAAUUAAGUCUGCCGGGUGUGCCCGUUACAGCGCUGCGGUAUUUAUGGCUUAGACCGGCGUACCUACAAAGGUAAAUACAGUGAUGUAUUUAUAAAAUUGGGUGGUAACACGAUACUUUCGUCCCUUAA
rnacentral:ncRNA from 1 species